GUCCUUUUAGUAUAACUAGUACAAUUGACUUCCAAUCAAUAAGCUCCGACAAUAAACCCGGAAAAGAACA
rnacentral:tRNA from 1 species